CUCCCCCUGGCUGCAGGAAGGCUGGAGCAGGUGUGAGGAGCUGUGGGUGCAACAGCUCCCCCUACAGGCCCGGGAGCAGCGCGGCACUGCCCAGCUGGCCUCCCUCCUCCAGGAGAUGCACCGGCUGCUGGCGGACGGCUCGGAGCGCGCCAUCCUUGCCAGGGCGAAAAGCAGCAGCACGUCUGGGCGCUGAUCAAAGGCACCUCCUACAUCAAAUCCCAGCUCCGCAAGGACCAGGCCGAGGUCCAGGCCUUCGUGCAGAGGAAGCUGCUGGGCCCGGAGCAGGACGUGACGCUGGAGUCGCAGCGGCUGCACGGGGGGGGUGGAGCGCGAGGUCCGGCAGCUGGGGGCCAUCGCCCUCCCCUGCCUUCUGCGCCGCAGCCUCCUGGGGUCCCAGCAGGUCCCGGCCCACGAGCUCUCCAUCCAUAGGCUGGGCCGGACGGCGCUCGCCCAGCACCGGGCCUUCCUCACUGUGUGCCAGGCUUCCGGCUUCCCUCUCUACAAGGUGAGACGCACACUUGGUGGAGCAAUGGGG